rnacentral:rRNA from 1 species
GACGAACGCUGGCGGCGUGCUUAACACAUGCAAGUCGAACGAAGAGCGAUGGAAGCUUGCUUCUAUCAAUCUUAGUGGCGAACGGGUGAGUAACGCGUAAUCAACCUGCCCUUCAGAGGGGGACAACAGUUGGAAACGACUGCUAAUACCGCAUACGAUCUAAUCUCGGCAUCGAGGAAAGAUGAAAGGUGGCCUCUAUUUAUAAGCUAUCACUGAAGGAGGGGAUUGCGUCUGAUUAGCUAGUUGGAGGGGUAACGGCCCACCAAGGCGAUGAUCAGUAGCCGGUCUGAGAGGAUGAACGGCCACAUUGGGACUGAGACACGGCCCAGACUCCUACGGGAGGCAGCAGUGGGGAAUCUUCCGCAAUGGACGAAAGUCUGACGGAGCAACGCCGCGUGAGUGAUGACGGCCUUCGGGUUGUAAAGCUCUGUUAAUCGGGACGAAAGGCCUUCUUGCGAACAGUUAGAAGGAUUGACGGUACCGGAAUAGAAAGCCACGGCUAACUACGUG